AACAGCUUCUGCCAUAACAGGUACAUUCUGACCAAAUACAACAGCUUCUGCCAUAACAGGUACAUUCUGACCAAAUACAACAGCUUCUGCCAUAACUGGUACAUUCUGACCAAAUACAACAGCUUCUGCCAUAACAGGUACAUUCUGACCAAAUACAACAGCUUCUGCCAUAACAGGUACAUUCUGACCAAAUACAACAGCUUCUGCCAUAACAGGUACAUUCUAACCAAAUACAACAGCUUCUGCCAUAACAGGUACAUUCUAACCAAAUACAACAGCUUCUGCCAUAACUGGUACAUUCUGACCAAAUACAACAGCUUCUGCCAUAACAGGUACAUUCUGACCAAAUACAACAGCUUCUGCCAUAACAGGUACAUUCUGACCAAAUACAACAGCUUCUGCCAUAACAGGUACAUUCUGACCAAAUACAACAGCUUCUGCCAUAACUGGUACAU